CUGGCUCAGGACGAACGCUGGCGGCGUGCUUCAUACAUGCAAGUCGAACGAGAAGUCACCUUCGGGUGAUGGAAAGUGGCGGACGGGUGAGUAAUGUGUAGAGAAUCUGCCCUUUAGUGGGGGACAACAGUUGGAAACGACUGCUAACACCCCCAUAUGCGCGUAGCUGAGAUGCUAUUCGUGAAAACUCCGGUGCUAAAGGAUGAGUCUGCAUCUGAUUAGCUAGUUGGCGGUGUAAUGGACCACCAAGGCGACGAUCAGUAGCUGGUUUGAGAGGAUGAUCAGCCACAAUGGGACUGAGACACGGCCCAUACUCCUACGGGGGGCAGCAGUAGGGAAUCUUCCACAAUGGACGAAAGUCUGAUGGAGCAACGCCGCGUGAGUUGAAGAAGGCUUUCGGGUCGUAAAACUCUGUCUUCGGGGACGAAUGUAUAGCUUGUGAAUAAUGAGUUAUAAUGACGGUACCCGAGGAGGAAGCCACGGCUAACUACGUGCCAGCAGCCGC
rnacentral:rRNA from 1 species